UUCCGGCCUUUCCUAGUCCCAUCUCUAUGGUUGAAGUGCGACCGCUCUAUACUUUUGGAGGCUUUAGCGAGCACGGCCAAUCAUUAGGUCAGUAUUGCAGCCUAUAGUUGGAAGUUUCGCUUACUAUUGGAUAAUAGCAGUAAAGCCCGCCCCACUACUUCCGUUAUACUCCUUUAAGUGGAAUCCGCGUUGGGACCACUGCCUUUUGGCGACGGCGGACACUGGAAGAUCCAGCCAUGCCAAGGACGUCCCUUCUCCUUGUCUAAAGCGUGUUUCGAGCUGUUUCUCCCCACUCCAAAUCCCUCAAUAAAGUGAUUCGGCCCCA